UUGAAAGGGAAACGAUUGAAGUCAGUCGUGCUGGCGCGAAAUCAACCCUCUCGUCGAGAGGACACAUGGCGUGGCGAGCCUCAACCGUCACGAAGCGUGAACUCUUGGCGAAAAGGAGCACUUUCGUGUCCGCUGGUUAACAUCAAUUUCGAACGUCAUAAAAAGGCUGGAGGGAUGUGGCUCCUUCGGGAGUGUUAUAACCUUUAGCGGAAUGUGGUGGUCGGGAUUGAGGAUUGCAACGAAUACCUUAGGGCUGUUCCACCUGGCCUCUCUUUGGUAUCCUGGUGACGACAGCUUGCUGACGUUGUUAGGAUUCGCCAUUGAACAGGCUAGAGUGUGAGCAAAUUCGUUAAGGAUUGACGUA
rnacentral:rRNA from 1 species